GAGGUACCUUUAUAUUAGCUAUAUUUCCUGUGUGCGCGCGUGCGUCCAUUAGACUGUAUGCAAAUAUGAAUAUUUUUGCGGUUCAGUAGUGGAAAUCAUGCACUUCCAUAAUGACUUCUUUAAUGUUGAAUUGUUAAUCUUUAGGUAUCCAAAUGACACCUAUGAUCGCAUCUGGUGGACGCACAACUUCGAACCUCUCUGGCUUCGUAUAAAUACUUCAGAGACCAUCCAAAUUAUACGUGGGGAUGCCUUCAAGGUGCCGUCCAUCGUUAUGAGCAGCGCAGUCACUCCAUCAAAUAAUACUAUAUUAGAAUUUUACUGGGACUCGCAGAGUGGAUUUGUUCGUCCCUCAUACUGUAUCUACAUGCACUUCGCUGAGUUUGACUACCUCCCCCCGAAUAGGACAAGAUUAAUCGACGUGAUCAUGAAUGGGCAAGUUCUUAAGAGGAAUUUCCAGCCUACGUACUUACUAUCAACUCACAUACCUCUCACAUAUGAGCUUGGGUCUUCUACUCGGUAUCAAUUUAACAUAACCAAGGCGGCCGAUUCCAUCCUUCCUCCAAUCCUCAAUGCCAUAGAGCUCUACAGUACUCUUCUCCUACCAAAUUUGGCAUCCGAUAGAACAGAUGUUCGUGCUAUGAUGGACCUCAAGCAAUUGUACGAUAUGAAGAUUUGGCAAGGUGAUGCGUGUGCUCCACAGGACUUCACUUGGAAAGGCAUACUUUGUACAUUUUCCAGCUCUAAUCCUCCAAGAGUAACAUCUAUAAACUUAUCCUCACUAAGACUGACCGGUAAUAUACCCAAUGCUAUUGACAACCUUAAGGCCAUCGAGUACUUGGACUUAUCAAACAAUAACUUCACCGGCCCAAUACCAAAUUUUCUGUCAGGAUUGAAUUCCCUUCGCAUGCUAAAUUUGUCAAACAACCAACUCAAUGGAUCGAUCCCAAAGGCACUCCGUCAAAAGCAAGAAAAUGGCUUUCUAGAGUUAAGGACGGAAAAUAACCCGGGUCUGUGCACCAACGGGAACGAAUGCGUAGAUGAUCAUGGAAAAAAGAAGACGCUUGCUACUGCAGUCAUUGUCGUCAUUGCAGUGAUUCUGGCUUCACUAAUCCUAUUGGCGAUCAUAGUAGUGGUGGUACGGCGCCAAAGGAGGAGAAAAACACCAACCCCGCCAUCGCCCAUUAAACUACAACCUGAAAAAGCAACAUCCAUAGAAGACCAAGCCGUUCUACCAGAGAACCGUGGAUUCACGUUCCUAGAGUUGAAGACCAUCACCAAUAACUUCGAGCGGGUCCUCGGCAAAGGUGGGUUCGGGAUCGUUUACUACGGCCGCUUGCGAGACGGCACCGAAGUUGCAGUGAAGCUGCGGGCUCACACGGUGGCGCAAGAGAGUAUGUUCAGUGAGUCUCAAAUUGAAGAAAGUGAUUCCAAGGCACAAAGAAUCAAGGAGUUCCAGGCCGAGGCCCUGCUCUUAUCAAGGGUUCAUCAUAGAAAUUUGGUGUCUUUGAUUGGUUACUGCAAGGAUAAUAAUUGCCUCGGACUUGUGUAUGAGUUUGUGGCGCAAGGAAAUCUCAAAAACCAUCUUACAGAUAAAGAUGGUACAGGCAGAGUCCUAAAUUGGAGAGAGCGGCUUCGGAUUGCAGUUGAUGCCGCACUAGGGCUGGAGUAUUUGCAUAGAGGAUGCGCCCCACCUAUUAUCCAUAGAGAUGUGAAGACCAGCAACAUCCUCUUAUCACAAAACUUGGUGGCCAAGAUAGCAGAUUUUGGGUUGUCAAAGGCUUUCCUUACUGAUGAUCACACUCAUGUGUCUACCGAAGUUGUUGUGGGCACUCUAGGAUACAUGGAUCCCGAGUAUGAUUGAUAACUAGCCACAGCUAAUUUCCACAAAAAUAGGAUCAUCUUUGGUGCAAUUUUUCCACCUUAGAAUGCGGUACCAUCGUGGAUAGCUAUCAUAUCAUCUAUUUCGGAGAUGGAUGGUUCUGCUUUAUCACCAUGAUGCAUUGUGUAUCACAUCAACAGUAUCUCAUCAUAUUCCAUAAAUGAAUGAGAGCUAUCUAUCACCAAGAUAGAUGACAGAGUAAUUAUCUGAGAUUUUACCACAUCUGCAUGCAAAACUUGCACUGCAGAUGAUCCUAACACAUUUCCAUAUUCUUUUACUUUUGUUCACGACACUGCUUUUUCAUGGUAGACAAGGUGAAACUUGUAAGCCAUAUAUGUAACAAUACCUAGGAUCCUUCGUAAGCCAUGUAAAAUUAUGUAGGAUCCUUUGGGGUGCACUAUUUUCAUCAUAGAAUACUAUGUAGUGCUCGAUAGCUGCCAUCAAUAGAUGGAUGGCAAUUAAAUAGAUGUGCUAUGUAUAAUACAUAAGUCCAUCUUAUUUGAUGGUCGUCCAUCUGCUAAUAGUGGCCAUCGAGUGCUGCAUAGUAUUUUAUGAUGCAAAUCAUGCACCGUAGAGGAUCUGUGCUUGUGUAAAAUGAGGAUAAGGUAUUCUCUAGUUUGUUUGCAGGAAAUAAGAAGCCUACUAGAAGGCUAGUCGGGCCUUGGUACCAUGAUACCUUCCAGCUGAACGAGAAGAGCGAUAUAUACAGCUUCGGGGUUGUUCUCUUGGAGCUGAUAACAAGCCUACCAGCUGUGCUUAAAAACCCUGAUAGGGGUCACAUAGUCCAAUGGGUGCAGCAACAGCUCGCCAAAGGAGAAAUCACUGAUGUUGUUGAUGUUGGGCUUAAAGGGGAGUACAACAUCAACUCGAUUUGGAAGGUGAUAGAUACAGCAAUGAAGUGUACCAUGCCAACAGCUAGUCAGAGGCCAACAAUGACCCAAGUGGUGAUACAGUUGAAGGAGAGCUUGCAACUCGAGGUCGGCCAUGAAAGAGCUCAGAAUAUCUAUGUAGAAGUCUUGGAACAGACUGAUUCAACUGAAAUAGCAAGCAUUGACAUGAAAACUACUAUGAGUGGUCCAACAGCAAGAUAAGGUGCAUCUCUAUGAAGUAUGAACUCUAUACCUAC